AACGAACGCUGGCGGCAGGCUUAACACAUGCAAGUCGAGCGCCCCGCAAGGGGAGCGGCAGACGGGUGAGUAACGCGUGGGAAUCUACCCAUCACUACGGAACAACUCCGGGAAACUGGAGCUAAUACCGUAUACGUCCUUCGGGAGAAAGGUUUAUCGGUGAUGGAGGAGCCCGCGUUGGAUUAGGUAGGUGGUGGGGUAAUGCCCCACCAAGGCGACGAUCCAUAGCUGGUCUGGGGGGAUGAUCAGCCACACGGGAACUGAGACACGGCCCAGACUCCUACGGGAGGCAGCAGUGGGGAAUAUUGGUCAAUGGGCGCAAGCCUGAUCCAGCCAUGCCGCGUGAGUGAUGAAGGCCCUGGGGUUGUAAAGCUCUUUCACCGGUGAAGAUAAUGACGGUAACCGAAGAAGAGGCCCCGGCUAACUUCGUGCCAGCAGCCGCCGUAA
rnacentral:rRNA from 1 species